rnacentral:tRNA from 1 species
GUGAGGUGGCUCAGUAGUUAAGAGCACUGGCUGUUCUUCCAGAUGACCUGGGUUCAAUUUCCAGCACUCACA